CUAAUUAGACCCUAGAACAUGUUUGGGAGUGUUUUUGAGCAUUCGGUUCCGGCACGAAAAACGAUGCAAAACGGGUGCAUUUCGGCACCCGAAUGCACUAUUGCCGGGUAGCGAAACUCGGGUGGAUUUUUUCGCAACGAACGCAUGCAAUCUACCUAAUUAGACCCUAGAACAUGUUUGGGAGUGUUUUUGGGCAUUCGGUUCCGGCACGAAAAAUGAUGCAAAACGGGUGCAUUUCGGCACCCGAAUGCACUAUUGCCGGGUAGCGAAACUCGGGUGGAUUUUUUCACAACGAACGCAUGCAAUCUUCCUAAAUAUACCCUAGAACAUGUUUGGGAGUGUUUUUGGGCAUUCGGUUCCGGCACGAAAAAUGAUGCAAAACGGGUGCAUUUCGGCACCCGAAUGCACUAUUGCCGGGUAGCGAAACUCGGGUGGAUUUUUUCGCAACGAACGCAUGCAAUCUUCCUAAAUAUACACUAGAACAUGUUUGGGAGUAUUUUUGGGCAUUCGGUUCCGGCACGAAAAAUGAUGCAAAACGGGUGCAUUUCGGCACUCGAAUGCACUAUUGCCGGGUAGCGAAACUCGGGUGGAUUUUUUUCGCAACGAACGCAUCCAAUCUACCUAAUUAGACCCUAGAACAUGUUUGGGAGUGUUUUUGGGCAUUCGGUUUCGGCACGAAAAACGAUGCAAAACGGGUGCAUUUCGGCACCCGAAUGCACUAUUGCCGGGUAGCGAAACUCGGGUGGAUUUUUUCGCAACGAACGCAUGCAAUUUUCCGAAAUAUACACUAGAACAUGUUUGGGAGUGUUUUUGGGCAUUCGGUUCCGGCACGAAAAAUGAUGCAAAACGGGUGCAUUUCAGCACCCGAAUGCACUAUUGCCGGGUAGCGAAACUCGGGUGGAUUUUUUCGCAACGAACGCAUGCAAUCUUCCUAACUAUACACUAGAACAUGUUUGGGAGUGUUUUUGAGCAUUCGGUUCCGGCACGAAAAACGAUGCAAAACGGGUGCAUUUCGGCACCCGAAUGCACUAUUUCCGGGUAGCGAAACUCGGGUGGAUUUUUUCGCAACGAACGCAUGCAAUCUUCCUAACUAUACACUAGAACAUGUUUGGGACUGUUUUUGAGCAUUCGGUUCCGGCACGAAAAACGAUGCAAAACGGGUGCAUUUCGGCACCCGAAAGCACUAUUUCCGGGUAGCGAAACUCGGGUGGAUUUUUUCGCAACGAACGCAUGCAAUCUUCCUAACUAUACACUAAAACAUGUUUGGGACUGUUUUUGAGCAUUCGGUUCCGGCACGAAAAACGAUGCAAAACGGGUGCAUUUCGGCACGCGAAUGCACUAUUUCCGGGUAGCGAAACUCGGGUGGAUUUUUUCGCAACGAACGCAUGCAAUCUUCCUAACUAUACACUAGAACAUGUUUGGGAGUGUUUUUGAGCAUUCGGUUCCGGCACGAAAAACGAUGCAAAACGGGUGCAUUUCGGCACCCGAAUG
rnacentral:lncRNA from 1 species